rnacentral:lncRNA from 1 species
CUCAGCAAUAGAAUCUUACUCCCUAGUUCUGUUGAGCAACCAACAACAGUAAAAGUCGCGUGUAUUUGGAGAGCAAAAAGAGCCAACCUGACGAACAACUCAUAGACAUCCCAUGUUGUUACCCACUACCGUACAUGAACUGCUAGUUGACCAAAUUCAAACAUCACUUGGGAGGGAGUGGUCGGGGUAGGACCGUGGAAACAUCUCUAUUGAGUUUGUAUCAUCCUAGAAUGUUGCGAUCUGCUUUCCUAUUUGAUAAAAUAUCUAUAGUCAUAAAAAUAAUAGGCGCAUUAUUAAUUCAAACAUAACACAAACUCUAUCCCCCCAUAAUAUGAGGAUCAAUGUCCACUUCUUAAAAUUUGGCACCAGCGAGACUGAGGUCAUACAUAGGGUGCCCCCUAAAUUUAAAAUGAUACUUAUCUAAAAGGAUUUGUCUGGGGUCAAAGUCCACAGCCUAGUCAGUGUCUCAGGGGUCUCCAGGACCACUGUACCAAGCACAGUAUUUAGAGACUACAUCAAGUGUAUGACUCCAUGGGAUUUCACAUUCUGUAAUGGUGAAGGUAUCUGUUAACAAAGGAGCAAUAUUUCAAGGAAAAAUCUAGCAUACUAAAUAUGCACGGCUUUUAACUUGCAUCUUUUCAUAUGGCAGUGUGCCUCCUUUUUUUAGAUAUAUUUACUUCAUGUUUAUGAGUGAUUUGCCUGCAUGUAUAUCUGUGCACAGUGUUCGUGCCUGGUGCCUAUGGAAGUCAGAAAAGGGUGUUGAAUCCUCUGGAACUGGAGUUAUUGGUGGCAUCAUUGAAUGCUGAUAAUCAAAUCUGGGACCUCUGGAAGAACAAGUGUUCUUAGCCACUGAGCCAUCUCUCCAGCCCCACAUUGUCCCUCUUUCUUCUUAAGCUCCUGAGCAGAGGUGCCCCCUGGGUGUCAGAAAGCAGACACUUCAGAGUCACUACCUGCCUUAGUCAGUUUUGUGGGAUUCGGACAAUGCUCCCUGCCCUUCUCCAUACUCAUUUUCUUCAUCAUCUCUAGGACAGUGUUUCAGUGGGAGGAGUUGAUUCCCAAGGAAGCCCUGUCGUGCUGAGAGAAAAGCCAAGUUCUGAGCAGUGAGGACACUUUCUGCUUUCAUUCCUAUUUUGAAGGAGGUGAUGCGAGAAACAAGAAACAUCUUUGCUCAUGCUGAUGCAGCAAAUCUGGUAAAAGGUUUAUACCAGAAACUACAUCUGGCUUCGGACACUCCCACUCAUGUAUAGGGUCAGUCUUAAAUCUGAAAGCAUGGAGAUAUAUAACUCUUUUAUAUUUUUAUAAGAAAUCAAAGACUAACAAGCCUUCACCUAUAUUUCCUAUGUGGUUGGUCUCAGAAUUUCUGGGUCCUUUAAUUGAAACACAUGGCAUUGGAAAUUGGAUUGUUGUUGUUGUUGUUGUUGUUGUUGUUGUUGUUUACAAAACAGUCAGAGGAAAUCCAAAAGUAUGGAGUAUCAUGCCAACCUCCCAGGCCUUAGGAAACCAUUGACCAAUACCACAGCAAUGCGUGUGAAGUCUCUGCCUUUAUAUAGGUGAGUUCAGGGUGUGAGCUUUCUGGAGGUGUUUAAACCAAUAAGGAGAUACUCUCAUUUAAUUCCAGUUAAACUUCAGUGAGGCUGCUAGAGAGAUCUCAAGUCAAAUUCUAACCAUGUAGGCUAAAUCUGAAUAGAAACAAAGACAGCCUCUGGCCCAUCCGUCUGCUUGGUAAGCUUCCCUUGAUGCAGACUCACUCUCCCAUCUAGGUAGGCAGUAGGGCAGAGGAACAGUUGAGAGCAGAGUAUAAUGACACUGUAGGUGUGGAUAAACCAAUGAGAGCCCUUAUGUUUGUGUGCUGACUUAAAAAGAAAUACUAAGGGCCAGAGGAAGAGGAAGUUUACUGUGAGAUUGUGUUUCCUAGAAAUGUCGGGGAAACUACUUCCAUGAAUUCUCACCAGCAUGGCUGCCUAAACAAGAUCUGAACAAAGACCACAUCAAGAGACAUGUCACAUGAAAAAGGGAGAGAUCCUGUGGCAUGAAUCUUACAAGCAACUAGACAAUGGAAGGAGUAGGAGAAAUCGCCUUCCCUGGGGAAGAGGUCCCAACCCUGAAGUCGUUUACAUACAGGAAUAACACGACUUACAACAUCUGCAACAGGAACUGACGAAUCCCAGGAAGAGGUGGGAGCUUGUGCCAGUGUGGGUGCCCACUCAGUUCUGACCCUGCAAAACCAGCGCUGCAGAAUUUCUUCUAUAGACACAUGCACAAAUGCUAUCCCUCUUGGACCUACAGGAGGCAACAGCCAUUGUUGCCCUGUCCUUUCUCUGCUGCCAUUUAUGAGCUGAGCUUUUAACCAGUCUGCCACAGCCAUGCCUCAGGUCUCCAGGCUACAGCCUACGAUGUGUUAUCUUCUACUA